UUCUUCAAUAAAAUAGCCGAAUAAACGCUACCAGAGCAACGUGAAAGAAAUCACAAACAGAGACUCGCCUCAAUUUCUCCGCCCAUUUUUCUUUCGUUUUUUCAAUACAAAUUUAAACCAUUUUCAUUCUUUGUUCCUUGCACUCUGAAACAAGCAGCUCUCUCUAUAUUCUGUGAAUCCAAUGGCUGCGAUUUUCCAGGGAAUAGCAGCUGCCACUGCUUUAUCACCGUCCAAUUGCUUCGAUUCCAAGAAGCUUCCGCUUCCUUCUCGCAGAUCUCUCUCAGGAAGAAAAGCGAGCUUCGUCGUUGGCAGAUCUGAUGGAAGCGCAAAUUUUGGUUCGAGUUCGAUAUCUCAGAAGGCUCAAAAGCUGAUUACUAAUGCAGUUGCAACUAAACAUGAUUCUGCGGCUUCUACUUCUGCCUCGAAGUCUGGGCAUGAGCUCUUACUUUUUGAAGCUUUGCGAGAAGGCUUGGAAGAGGAAAUGGACAGAGAUCCUAAUGUAUGUGUCAUGGGUGAAGAUGUGGGUCACUAUGGAGGCUCGUACAAAGUGACAAAGGGCCUGGCUGACAAGUAUGGGGAUCUUAGGGUUCUUGACACUCCUAUUGCUGAGAAUUCCUUCACUGGUAUGGGCAUUGGAGCUGCCAUGACUGGCCUGAGGCCAAUCAUUGAGGGAAUGAACAUGGGAUUUCUCCUUUUGGCAUUUAACCAGAUCUCCAACAAUUGUGGAAUGCUUCACUAUACUUCUGGUGGCCAAUUUAAAAUACCAGUUGUUAUUCGUGGACCCGGUGGAGUUGGUCGACAACUUGGUGCUGAGCAUUCUCAACGCCUGGAGUCAUAUUUUCAAUCAAUCCCGGGAAUUCAAAUGGUAGCAUGUUCAACCCCAUAUAAUGCCAAGGGCCUGAUGAAAGCUGCUAUCCGGAGUGAUAACCCAGUGAUACUUUUUGAGCAUGUUUUGCUUUAUAAUCUCAAAGAGAGGAUCCCAGAUGAAGAAUACAUUUGUAAUCUUGAGGAAGCUGAAAUGGUUAGGCCUGGGGAGCAUGUCACUAUUCUUACCUAUUCCCGAAUGAGGUAUCACGUGAUGCAGGCUGCCAAAACCUUAGUUAACAAGGGGUAUGAUCCCGAAGUUAUUGAUAUUAGGUCACUGAAACCAUUUGAUCUUUACACCAUUGGCAAUUCAAUUAAAAAGACACAUCGUGUGCUGAUCGUGGAGGAGUGCAUGCGGACUGGUGGAAUUGGUGCUAGCUUAACUGCUGCUAUUACCGAGAAUUUCCAUGAUUACUUGGAUGCUCCUAUUGUGUGCCUAUCUUCUCAAGAUGUGCCAACUCCAUAUGCUGGUACAUUGGAGGAAUGGACUGUUGUUCAACCUGCCCAGAUUGUGACAGCAGUUGAACAAUUAUGCCAAUAGUCUCAAUAGCAGCUGUAGUUAUGGCUUAGUUGGCAUUGUGGUAACCCUGUCUUCUCUGUAUGCAGAUUUCACCCUUGCUUUUUGUUCCGGUUAAGACUUGUUGGAUGCUGCAGCAAGGACAGCAGCGUUACAUUCCAAUUUUCUGGAUCAACUGUUACUUCCCCAAAAUCCAGAAACUAGUAUGUUAUUGUUUCUUCAUUUUUGCUUUUGUUUGUACAAGAUUUGUCUGGAAUUAUCGAAACCAUCUAGUCUUGAGAAUAACUAUGGCUUAUUACCUUUUGUAUUGAGGAAAUUUAGAGAAUAGUUUUUACCAUGUUGUACUAGGAAAUGUUCUCUCCUCCAGUCAACUUACAAUAUUUAGAAGUAUGCUUCAAAUUUUAUCAAGUAACACAAGUUGUUUGUUGAUUUGUCCGAUGAUAUAUGCAUGGAACAUUGGCUGAA